AUGAGAGGCAAAGCCACUGGUAGGGGUCGGGGGGUGGAGUCAACAUCAAGUUUUCCCAUUGGAUUCAAAUGUCAGAGUCGGGGAAACCGAGUCUCAGUAGAUGAGCAAGGUGACGUGCAGUUCUGGCCGGUUGGUGGAGGUCCCACCUGGGUCACCGGUUGGCCCCUGCUGUCCUGGUGGCCUGGCUAUUCCAAACACUUACCUCUCUUUCAGACCUCACAGCUCUUCUGGCAACAGUGUCAAGAACGUGGUUUACAAAGAGAAGGGCUGUCAGUCUGGAAGGGAGUCCAGUGUAUUGGGUACCUCCAGCGCCCAGGAGGUUCCUGGGUUGUAUCUCAGCUCACCUCCCAGCAGCGGCAGGGACAGAAGCCCCAGCCCCGCUGCACGUGGCCAUCACCGGUGGUACAGGCCGUGUCCCUCUGCAUUCCAGCCCCGGGACAUCAGAGCCUGUGGGACCGGGACCUGAGUGUCAAUGUGUUUUUAAAUCCACCCCCUCCCAAGUGA
rnacentral:lncRNA from 1 species